rnacentral:rRNA from 1 species
GUACACACCGCCCGUCGCUCCUACCGAUUGGGUGUGCUGGUGAAGCGCUCGGAUCGGGGACGGUCGGGAGUCUCUCCCACCGUUCCUGAGAAGUCCGUUAAACCCUCCCACCUAGAGGAAGGAGAAGUCGUAACAAGGUUUCCGUAGGUGAACCUGCAGAAGGAUCA